rnacentral:rRNA from 1 species
CCUACGGGAGACAGCAGUGAGGAAUAUUGGUCAAUGGGCGCGAGCCUGAACCAGCCAAGUAGCGUGAAGGAUGACUGCCCUACGGGUUGUAAACUUCUUUUAUAUGGGAAUAAAAUGUUCCACGUGUGGGAUUUUGUAUGUACCAUAUGAAUAAGGAUCGGCUAACUCCGUGCCAGCAGCCGCGGUAAUACGGAGGAUCCGAGCGUUAUCCGGAUUUUUUGGUGUUAAAGGGAGCGUAGGUGGAUUGUUAAGUCAGUUGUGAAAGUUUGCGGCUCAACCGUAAAAUUGCAGUUGAAACUGGCAGUCUUGAGUACAGUAGAGGUGGGCGGAAUUCGUGGUGUAGCGGUGAAAUGCUUAGAUAUCACGAAGAACUCCGAUUGCGAAGGCAGCUCACUGGACUGCAACUGACACUGAGGCUCGAAAGUGUGGGUAUCAAACAGGAUUAGAUACCCCAGUAGUC